GAGGGGGUCAGUAAACAAAUAGCGAAGGGAAAGACAACUAUUUUUUCGAGCUUUGGAUUCUUGGUUGAAUUGUGGAGAUGCACUGUGAUGGUUUUGAUGUGUUGUGGGCUCAGUCAAUGCUUUUUUGCCAUGGAAGAAGAAAAUCAAGUGUAAUGAAACGCUAUGAGACUUAAAAAUUGGAUGAAAAAGUGGGGAGUUGGCAUUAGUGGGAGAUUGUCGAAGAUGAUGAAGUGUAUUCGUUCAGGGGAGCAGUUAAGAGUAGAUGACAUG
rnacentral:misc_RNA from 1 species